GGCCCUGUAGUUCAACGGAUAGAACAAGCGUUUCCUAAACGCUAGAUCUAGGUUCGAUUCCUAGCAGGGCUACUA
rnacentral:tRNA from 1 species